AUUGAACGCUGGCGGCAGGCUUAACACAUGCAAGUCGAGCGGAGAUGAGGUGCUUGCACCUUAUCUUAGCGGCGGACGGGUGAGUAAUGCUUAGGAAUCUGCCUAUUAGUGGGGGACAACAUUCCGAAAGGAAUGCUAAUACCGCAUACGCCCUACGGGGGAAAGCAGGGGAUCUUCGGACCUCGCGCUAAGAGAUGAGCCUAAGUCGGAUUAGCUAGUUGGUGGGGUAAAGGGCUACCAAGGCGACGAUCUGUAGCGGGUCUGAGAGGAUGAUCCGCCACACUGGGACUGAGACACGGCCCAGACUCCUACGGGAGGCAGCAGUGGGGAAUAUUGGACAAUGGGCGGAAGCCUGAUCCAGCCAUGCCGCGUGUGUGAAGAAGGCCUUUUGGUUGUAAGGCACUUUAAGCGAGGAGGAGGCUACCUGGAUUAAUACUCUAGGAUAGUGGACGUUACUCGCAGAAUAAGCACCGGCUAACUCUGUGCCAGCAGCCGCCGCGGUA
rnacentral:rRNA from 1 species